rnacentral:snoRNA from 1 species
AAUCCAUGCAUUGGACAUUUCCACGUUAAGUCUUUAAAUUGUUUCCAAGCUUCAUAUAGUGUUUCAUCCUCUAAUUUUUGAAAAGAUGUGAUGUCAUUUCUAAGCUU